AAGGUACAAAUUAUAGUGUUUAGUAGUAAAGAAAGUAUUCUUAAGCAUUAGUAUAGUUAUAGAAUAUGUAUUUUUAAUUAUAGUGGAUUAGUAUAGUGAUAGAAUUUUUAAAUAGGUUAAAGUUAAGUUAUUAAAAAGAAGGAUUGAUUUUUUGUACCUUGUGUAUCAGGGUUUAUUAAAAAUAUAUUAAUUAUUUAAUAGUCUCGAACUAUAAAGAGCUAAUACUAUAUUUAUUUAAUUGUGACAUAAACUUUUUUAAUAUAGUAUUAGUAAUGAAACGUUAGUCGUUUUUUAAGAUAUCUAGUUUUUUAAGAAAUAAAUUUAAUUUAGUUAGUUAGUUGGUUUAUAUUACUUAGUUAAUAUAAAUUAGUAACUAAGUAAUACUUUGAGGGAUAAGCUUUAAAGUAAAGUAUUAUAAUUUAUAUAUAUAUGUUAGUUAGGAAGAUUGGUAGGAUUGAAAAUUUUUAUCUUUAGUUUGUUAUAAUUAGUUUUUCUAUAAGUAAGAUUUAUAUAGGAAGUUUAAGUUAUUUAUUAAAAUGAUUUGUUUAAUGGGGGUAUAUAGGCAAUAAUGAUAAAAUUAGUAUAAGUGUUUGUAAGAUUAAGUUUAUAAGAUAAGGUUAAGUUAAGGAACUCGGCAAAUUAGCUUUUUGCCUGUUUAUUAAAAACAUGUCUUUUUGAUUAUAAUUUAAAGUCUAACCUGCCCAAUGAGGAGUUCAAUGGCCGCGGUAUUUUGACCGUGCAAAGGUAGCAUAAUCAUUAGUUUUUUAAUUGAAAGCUGGUAUGAAUGGUUGGACGAGAAAGCGACUGUCUCAAUUUAAUUGAAGUAGAAUUUUAUUUUUAAGUUAAAAAGCUUAAAUGAGUUUAAAAGACGAGAAGACCCUAUAGAGUUUAAUAUAUAUUAUUAAUACUUAAUUAUUAGUAUAUAUGAAUAGGUAUAUUAAUAUGUAUUUUGUUGGGGUGACAGGAAAAUAGACUUAACUUUUCCUACAUUAGUACAUUAAUUUAUGAGUGCAUGAUCUGCUGUUAGCGAUUAUAAGAUUAAAUUACCUUAGGGAUAACAGCGUAAUUCUUUUUGAGAGUUCUAAUCGAAAAGAGAGUUUGCGACCUCGAUGUUGGAUUAAAAUUGAUUUCUGGUGUAGAAGCUAGAAUAUUAGGUCUGUUCGACCUUUAAAAUUUUACAUGAUCUGAGUUUAAACCGGUGUAAGCCAGGUUGGUUUCUAUCUUUAAAUAGGUAAAGUAUCUUAGUACGAAAGGACCAGGUAUUUAUAAUAGUUAUUUAAUAUUGAAUAUUAGUAAU
rnacentral:rRNA from 1 species